GAUGAACGCUGGCGGCGUGCUUAACACAUGCCAGUCGAACGAUUAAGCCCAGCUUGCUGGGUGGUUUAGUGGCGAACGGGUGAGUAACACCUAAGUAACUUGCCCUUAACUCUGGGUUAAGCCUGGUAAACUGGGUCUAUUACCCAUUAGGCGCGUCCACCGCAUGGUGGGUGUUUGAGAGAUUUAUCGGUUUUGUCUGGACGCGCGGCCUAUCAUCUUGUUUGUGGUGUAAUGGUUCACCAAGGCGACGACGGGUAUCCGGCAUGAGAGGGUUACCGGCCACAAUGGGACUGAGAGACGGACCAGACUGCAACGGGAGGCAGCAGUGGGGAAUAUUGCACAAUGGGGGCAAGCCUGAGGAAGAGACGCAGCGAGAGGAAUGACGGCCAUCGGGUUGUAAACGUCAUUAAGUAGAGAAGAAGCGAAAGUGACGGUACCUGCAGAAGAAGCACCGGCUAACUACGUG
rnacentral:rRNA from 1 species